UUUUAUUAUUCUACAAUUCGUUCCACAUAGUCUGCAGAGCCCCAUUCAUACUGGAUAAAUUUUAGUCGCAUCCGGUCCGUCAAAUGUCUUAUGAUCUAUAGAGCCCUUUUGAUUUUUCUAUGGCAACAUUUGCUAUGCUGACGUCAUUGCCACGUCAUUACUGUCAGUCAGACAGAAAUAAAAGAAAAAUGGAUGCCGUUCAGACGUACACGCAUUAUUUGGAACUGAAAAUUACGUAAUUUAUCGACCUGCUGGCUUGUAUUUGUUAUAAAUCAUAAAAAAAUUAUGGAAAACAUCAUGAACAAUAAUGAAACAAACCGAACCUUUAGCUACAAUAAUAAAAUGACCCCAUGACGCCAGUGGAACUACGUGGUUUUCUUUCAUGAUGAUUUGAUGAUACCAUAAUGGAAUUAGCCAAGUUUUCGCCGUAUUGGGUGCUAGAUGCCCCUUGGAGUUAAGCCCCAGUGCCACUAUACUACCUUACCAGUUAUGUGUGGGUG